GUAGGUGGCAAGCGUUGUCCGGAAUUAUUGGGCGUAAAGCGCGCGCAGGCGGUUCUUUAAGUCUGAUGUGAGAGCCCACGGCUCAACCGUGGAGGGUCAUUGGAAACUGGAGAACUUGAGUACAGAAGAGGAAAGCGGAAUUCCACGUGUAGCGGUGAAAUGCGUAGAGAUGUGGAGGAACACCAGUGGCGAAGGCGGCUUUCUGGUCUGUAACUGACGCUGAGGCGCGAAAGCGUGGGGGAGCAAACAGGAUUAGAUACCCUGGUAGUCCACGCCGUAAACGAUGAGUGCUAAGUGUUAGGGGGUUUCCGCCCCUUAGUGCUGCAGCUAACGCAUUAAGCACUCCGCCUGGGAGUACGGCCGCAAGGCUG
rnacentral:rRNA from 1 species